GCCGAAGUGGCGGAAUAGGCAGACGCGCACGACUCAAACUCGUGUGGGGAAACCCGUGUGGGUUCGACUCCCACCUUCGGCACCA
rnacentral:tRNA from 5 species